rnacentral:rRNA from 1 species
AUUGAACGCUGGCGGCAGGCCUAACACAUGCAAGUCGAACGGUAGCACAGAGAGCUUGCUCUCGGGUGACGAGUGGCGGACGGGUGAGUAAUGUCUGGGAAACUGCCUGAUGGAGGGGGAUAACUACUGGAAACGGUAGCUAAUACCGCAUAAUGUCGCAAGACCAAAGAGGGGGACCUUCGGGCCUCUUGCCAUCGGAUGUGCCCAGAUGGGAUUAGCUAGUAGGUGGGGUAAUGGCUCACCUAGGCGACGAUCCCUAGCUGGUCUGAGAGGAUGACCAGCCACACUGGAACUGAGACACGAUCCAGACUCCUACGGGAGGCAGCAGUGGGGAAUAUUGCACAAUGGGCGCAAGCCUGAUGCAGCCAUGCCGCGUGUAUGAAGAAGGCCUUCGGGUUGUAAAGUACUUUCAGCGGGGAGGAAGGCGGUGAGGUUAAUAACCUCGCCGAUUGACGUUACCCGCAGAAGAAGCACCGGCUAACUCCGUGCCAGCAGCCGCCGUAA